rnacentral:rRNA from 1 species
AGAGUUUGAUCAUGGCUCAGGACGAACGCUGGCGGUGUGCUUCACACAUGCAAGUCGAACGAGGUAGCAAUACCUAGUGGCGGACGGGUGAGUAACGCGUGGGAAUCUGCCUUUAGAUGGGGGAUAACGGGUCGAAAGACUCGCUAAUACCGCAUAUGACGAAAGUUGAAAGGAGUAAUCCGUCUAAAGAUGAGCCCGCGUCCGAUUAGCUAGUUGGUAGAGUAAAAGCCUACCAAGGCGACGAUCGGUAGCUGGUCUGAGAGGAUGAUCAGCCACAAUGGGACUGAGACACGGCCCAUACUCCUACGGGAGGCAGCAGUGGGGAAUUUUACGCAAUGGGCGAAAGCCUGACGUAGCGACACCGCGUGAGCGAAGAAGCCCCUUGGGGUGUAAAGCUCUGUCAGCUGGAACGAAAAAAUGACGGUACCAGCAGAGGAAGCAUCGGCUAACUACGUG